AUGGCGAUGGCCGCCCUGCUCGUCGUCCUCCUCCUCCUGGCCGGGGGCUCCGCGGCCGCGUCGCCGCCGCCGCCGCCGUGCAGCCGGUCGUGCGCGACGCUCAACUGCGACUCGGUGGGGAUCCGGUACGGAAAGUUCUGCGGCGUGGGGUGGAGCGGGUGCGAGGGCGAGGAGCCCUGCGACGACCUCGACGCCUGCUGCCGCGACCACGACCACUGCGUCGACAAGAAAGGCCUGAUGAGUAUCAAAUGCCAUGAGAAGUUCAAAAACUGCAUGAGGAAAGUGAAGAAGGCUGGCAAGGUCGGCUUCUCCAAGAAAUGCCCGUAUGAAUUGGCUAUGGCGACGAUGACUCAGGGUAUGGACAUGGCGAUCAUGCUCAGCCAGUUGGGCAGCCAGAAGUUAGAACUGUAG
rnacentral:rRNA from 1 species